UACUAUUAUGAUGAGCUUUAAGCUUUCGCCCCUAUCUGAACAUAAAGAGAAACUUCUCAUGUUGAAUGCGAGGAUUGGUCUUACUGAAACCUAUUU